GAUCAUUAUCGUUAAACCGAGGCGCGAGGGCUGUCGCUGACCUUCCCCGGUCGUGCACGCCCGAGCCCUCUCACACAAUCCAUCUCACCCUUUGUGCAUCACCGCGUGGGUCCCCCUUUGCCGGAGGGCCCGCGUCUUUACACAAAACUCGAUACAGUGUAGAAUGUUUAUUUUCGCCGUCGCACGCGAUCAAUAAUACAACUUUCAACAACGGAUCUCUUGGCUCUCGCAUCGAUGAAGAACGCAGCGAAAUGCGAUACGUAAUGUGAAUUGCAGAAUUCAGUGAAUCAUCGAAUCUUUGAACGCACCUUGCGCCCCUUGGCAUUCCGAGGGGCACACCCGUUUGAGUGUCGUGAAAUCUUCAAAAACCCUCUCUUUUGAGGAUUUUUGGACUUGGAGGUUCAAUGCUCGCUUUCUUCUUUUAGGAAGCGAGCUCCUCUCAAAUGAGGCGGGGGGGUCUGCUUUGCCGGUCCUUGACGUGAUAAGAUGUUUCUACGUUUUGGAUUCGACAUCGUCCCGCUCCCAAUCGUCCCACGGACAAAAGGAUGGUGCUCCGGUCGCGGGUCAUCGCUCGCGGCUGGACCCACGAAAA
rnacentral:sRNA from 1 species